GAUGAACGCUGGCGGCGUGCUUAACACAUGCAAGUCGAACGGAAAGGCCCAAGCUUGCUUGGGUACUCGAGUGGCGAACGGGUGAGUAACACGUGGGUUAUCUGCCCUGCACUUCGUGAUAUGCCUGGGAAACUUGGUCUAAUACCGGAUAGGACGCUGGUUUGUAUGCCAUUGUGGAAAGUUUUUUCGGUGUGGGAUGAGCUCGCGGCCUAUCAGCUUGUUGGUGGGGUAAUGGCCUACCAAGGCGUCGACGGGUAGCCGGCCUGAGAGGGUGUACGGCCACAUUGGGACUCAGAUACAGCCCAGACUCCUACGGGAGGCAGAAGUGGGGAAUAUUGCACAAUGGGCGCAAGACUAAUGCAGCGACACCGAGUGGGGGAUGACGGCCUUCGGGUUGUAAACUCCUUUAGCUAGGGACGAAGAGUUUUUGUGACGGUACCUUGAGAAGAAGCACCGGCUAACUACGUG
rnacentral:rRNA from 1 species